GUGGCAUUGGCUGUUGUAGUGUGGGCUGCAGUUGUGGUGACAGGUGAAGUUGUAGUUGCAGCUGCAGUUGUAGUGUUAGCCUCUGUCGUAAGAGUGGCGGCAGUUGUGGUGGCAGAAGCUGUUGAAGUGUGGGCUGCAGUUGUGGUUGCAGGGGAUGUUGUAGUGGCAACUGCUGUUGUAGUACCAGCUGCAGUUGUGGUGGCAUUGGCUGUUGUAGUGUGGGCUGCAGUUGUGGUGACAGGGGAAGUUGUAGUGGCAACUGCUGUUGAGGUACCAGCUGCAGUUGUGGUGGCAUUGGCUGUUGUAGUGUGGGCUGCAGUUGUGGUGACAGGUAGAGUUGUAGUAGCAGCUGCAGUUGUAGUGGCAGCCU
ensembl:lncRNA